rnacentral:misc_RNA from 1 species
AAGCAAGAAAAAUAAAGAACCCAAUCAAAUGCGUCCAGACGUUGAGGGUUUCAUUGUGGAUGGUGAAGAUGCUGAGAAAGAUCUGCUUCAGCGGCAACUCCCCGCGGUAAUACCCCAAGAUGUACUCGUUGUCCUUGAGAUAUCCCGGCAGCGAAUUGUACUCCACCAGCUGGUACUUCACCUUCUUCCACAGCCGCCGCCCCUUG